AAGUCGUAACAAGGUUUCCGUAGGUGAACCUGCGGAAGGAUCAUUAAAGAGUUGGGGUCCUCCGGGGCCCGAUCUCCCACCCUUUGUUGUCGCGAAUUUGUUGCCUCGGCGGGUUGUCCUCUCGGGGACGACGGGCUUCUGGCCCACCCGCCGCAGGACCAUUCAAACUCUGUUUUAACAAUGCAGUCUGAGAAGAUUUAAUAAUAAAUCAAAACUUUCAACAACGGAUCUCUUGGUUCUG
rnacentral:misc_RNA from 1 species